rnacentral:misc_RNA from 1 species
CUCCUCUCUUCUUCUAUCUCAGAAUCUUAACUCAAUGGCUCAAACAACUCCAAAACAUACCCAGACCGUUUCUGGCUGGGCAGCCCACGAUUCCUCUGGCAAGAUCACCCCUUAUAUUUUCAAAAGAAGAGAGAAUGGCAGCAAUGAUGUAACCAUAAAGAUCAUGUAUUGUGGGAUCUGCCACACUGAUCUCCACCAUGUGAGGAAUGAUUGGGGGAUUACCAUGUACCCUGUGGUUCCAGGGCAUGAAAUUACAGG